AGUGAACGCUGGCGGUAGGCCUAACACAUGCCAGUCGAACGGCAGCACAGUAAGAGCUUGCUCUUACGGGUGGCGAGUGGCGGACGGGUGAGGAAUACAUCGGAAUCUACUUUUUCGUGGGGGAUAACGUAGGGAAACUUACGCUAAUACCGCAUACGACCUACGGGUGAUAGCAGGGGAUCUUCGGACCUUGCGCGAUUGAAUGAGCCGAUGUCGGAUUAGCUAGUUGGCGGGGUAAAGGCCCACCAAGGCGACGAUCCGUAGCUGGUCUGAGAGGAUGAUCAGCCACACUGGAACUGAGACACGGUCCAGACUCCUACGGGAGGCAGCAGUGGGGAAUAUUGGACAAUGGGCGCAAGCCUGAUCCAGCCAUACUGCGUGGGUGAAGAAGGCCUUCGGGUUGUAAAGCCCUUUUGUUGGGAAAGAAAAGCAGCAGGUUAAUACCCCGCUGUUCUGACGGUACCCAAAGAAUAAGCACCGGCUAACUUCGUG
rnacentral:rRNA from 1 species